rnacentral:rRNA from 1 species
CCUACGGGAGGCAGCAGUGAGGAAUAUUGGUCAAUGGGCGCAAUCCUGAACCAGCCAAGUCGCGUGAAGGAUGACUGCCCUACGGGUUGUAAACUUCUUUUAUAAAGGGGUAAAGUGACUCACGUGUGCCUUUUUGUAUGUACUUUAUGAAUAAGGAUCGGCUAACUCCGUGCCAGCAGCCGCGGUAAUACGGAGGAUCCGAGCGUUAUCCGGAUUCAUUGGGUUUAAAGGGAGCGUAGAUGGUUUGUUAAGUCAGUUGUGAAAGACCGCGGCUCAACCGUGAAGUUGCAAUUGAUACUGGAAGUCUUGAGUACAGAUGAGGCAGGCGGAAUGCGUGGUGUAGCGGUGAAAUGCAUAGAUAUUACGCAGAACACCGAUUGCGAAGGCAGCUUACUAAACCGCCACUGACACUGAUGCACGAAAGCGUGGGGAUCGAACAGGAUUAGAUACCCGAGUAGUC